CCUACGGGAGACAGCAGUGGGGAAUAUUGCACAAUGGGGGAAACCCUGAUGCAGCGACGCCGCGUGAGUGAAGAAGUAUUUCGGUACGUAAAGCUCUAUCAGCAGGGAAGAAAAUGACGGUACCUGACUAAGAAGCCCCGGCUAACUACGUGCCAGCAGCCGCGGUAAUACGUAGGGGGCAAGCGUUAUCCGGAUUUACUGGGUGUAAAGGGAGCGUAGACGGCAGCGCAAGUCUGGGGUGAAAUCCCAUGGCUUAACCAUGGAACUGCUUUGGAAACUGUGCAGCUAGAGUGCAGGAGAGGUAAGCGGAAUUCCUAGUGUAGCGGUGAAAUGCGUAGAUAUUAGGAGGAACACCAGUGGCGAAGGCGGCUUACUGGACUGUAACUGACGUUGAGGCUCGAAAGCGUGGGGAGCAAACAGGAUUAGAUACCCGGGUAGUC
rnacentral:rRNA from 1 species